AUGCUGUGCCGCCUUUCAAUCAAAUCAAUUAUUUAUUAUUUUUAAACCAUCGUCAUGAUAAAUGAAAAGAUAGGUCCCUUGAAGUGUAUAAGAGUAAACUGAAUGAAUAGGCGAGUAGUAGACAUUAUUGAGCAAAUAAUCAUCGUAAAGAACCCAGUCUAAAAACUUCGCAACCAAUUCCGUAAAUUAUCAAAAAAUCAUUAUUUCGGAUCAUGCCACCCACAUCAGCUACGUGAGUAUAUCUUUCCAGGAUCGGUUUCAAUGAAUCACCCUCGACUUUCCAUAGUAAUAUCCUUUGGUCAAUGGAUACACUCAGCAAAAGCUCUUUGGUAAUUGAUAAAACACCUGUAACACUGGAAGCAUGAGCUUCAGCAAAAAAGUAGUUAUGUAAAGAAUUGACUACUACUGAAUUUUCACUUAUUUGUUCUAACAAAAGUAUAGAUCGAGAAAUUGCACCAUCAUCACCACCCGUAGAAAUCGUUAACACAUCUUGAUCCCUGCUAAUAUUUAAUGACUUAACACAAAAUUGAUGCACUGUUUUUAUCCAAAUUAUUAAUGGCUCAAUUUGAGGAUCCCUCCAAAAUGUGUUCCAAAUAGCAACAUUACCAUCAGUCGAAGCAACCACCAACAAUAAAUGAGACCCGAAAAUAACAGCCUCGGCAAAAACCAAACAAACUGUCUUAUAUUUCCAACUUUUUAUACAAUUUAGCUGCUUCGUAUCUACGUUAUAAGUGAAUGCUUUGAUAGUCGAAUCGGACUGUACAGUAUUAAUCCAUAACACUCUUUCACCCAGAUGGGUUGCCUUUACAACAGAAAUGUCAGUUAUUCGAAGAUCCCCAUCGUAAGUCUUGUUACUUUUAUUUGGUUUGCAGAGUUUUUCAUGAACGAUCCGUUUCAGAUAUGCCUCUGGCUUUUGUAUUAGCCUAUAAACAUUUAACUCUUCAAGACCACCAGUGGAAAAUAAAAUAUCAUCGCUAAACCAGGUCAGCGAUUGGAUUCCUGAAUUAUGAAACUUGACAGAAUUCAGAGGAAUUAUGUUUCCAUUACUCUGAAACUCAAGCAGGGUUACUUUAGUAUCUUCAGAUCCUGAUAAUAAAAGAUCCCCUGAAGGAUUGAAAUCCAUUGCUCGAAUCUCACGCCCAUGCAAACCAUUUUGUAAUACAGAAUUUCUUUGCAAAAGAUUUAAAGCAGUGCUAUAAAUAUAAAGUUGAUUUGCUCUAUAAGAUGCAAAACUUUGAAUGUCCAUCUCCAUUGAAAAAGCCCAUGGACGAUGACUACCUCCACAAUCAAUAAAGAAAACAUUAGUUUCAUUUGUCUCAUCCCUUAAAAAAAAAUUUGAUGCAUGAAAACCCCAAACCCAUUGAUUUUCCUUUCCAUUUUUUAAUUUUUUACACAAACCCUAGCAUAUGUUAGCUGAACCAUGAACCGUAUAUUCUUAAAGAUAAUACUCACCCCGCUUAGUAUACCAUCACAACAUUUUUUCGAACACAGCUCCUGAGGAACAGCACUUUUUUCUACCCUCGGAAUUGAAAAUAAAUUGACAUAACCAUCACGUCCGACUGUUUGAAUUAAGAGGUAAUCACGUUUUGACGACUUGAUGUGAAUGGAUGAAAUUGCAUCAAAUUCAUGAAUUC
rnacentral:lncRNA from 1 species